UAAGUGCCGUGAUUACAGGCUUUAGCCAUCUCACUUGACCAGAAAAUGAGUCUUUAAGAUAGCAAUAACAUAUAACAAGUGAUGGCUGCUUUUUCCUAGAGUCUUUGCCCCCUGGCUCUCUGCUAAUAACCCUGUAAACCUUACCCUGUGAGCUCGUUCAGCUCCGUACUACUACAUAUGCCAUGUCUCACAUUGUCUCUUUCUGAAUAGCAUGACCAUAUAAUGUAUUAUCCAUGAUGAGAUAAUUUUGAGAGUAAAGGCACUUUCUUAUUAAGCAAACUUGGACAAUAGACAUAAACCUGGACUAUUCUGGGCAAACUGGAAUAUGAGGUCUUCUGUUUUUGAAGAUAUGGACAAGGAUUGUAUCAAGGUUUUCAUUGAUCCAAUUUUACAAAAGCCAGUAGUUCUGAAUUUGUAACUCCCAUGGGGAGGCAAUCAAGUUCGGGUUUUAAUACCUGAAUCACAGGCUUUGCAAAAGGCUUGUGAUUCCUGCUGCAUUAUCAGGAGUUCUGAAAAUUUGCCAUUGGUCAAAACCGGCUCAGUAUCCAGGUUACUGGCAACAAGAAUGCCCUACUGAGUGUGAUGCUGCACAUUGAAUGCAGAUUUUUUUUUUCCUCAGAUGAUUACACACACUUUGCUUCACUUUCAUAUCCAGAGCUGCUUAGACUGAUUUCUCCAAAAUGCACAGGCAUUUUCAUGCUGAGGAUAAAGGACACUUUUCCAUUCCUACAUCCUUUCUCAUAGGAUUGCUGAGAACAUUGCUGGUAUUCAAAACUAGCUGACUGAAUGAUGAAUAACAGAAGUUGGCUGGAAUUAACAUUUCCUACGGUGAACUUUGUAAAAUGUCAGUCAUUCAAGAUAUUCAGUGGAAAAAUGGUUCCAUAAGUUUAGCUUGAGAAAAACUCUAAUAUUACAUUUUUUUCCUGAAGAUUCAGAUUGAUGUAUGGAAUCUGCAGUAAAAGAUUUUGUUGUACUGGUUGUUUUCUAUAACACUUGAUGGAGGAAAGUGUGUUGUGUGUGUCAAACGUAUUAUCAUCCUCUAGAAUUUGUGUUCUAUGGAGCAAAGAGAAAGUGGUUUAGAGACACUGGUUUUGAUUACUAACAGGAACUGAAAAGGUGUGGACACAUCACUUCAUACAUCUCUAGUGCAGACAGCUAUAAUUUCUUUUGAUAUUUUAGCACAAUGAUGUAGGAGGGAAUUAGUGUACAUUCUUAAAAAGCAGCUUUUUCUUCUUUGUCUCAUCUUGACAUAGGGAACAUGGUAAUUGAAAGAAAUGGAGACAAUGAUGUCAGUAAUAAGGAAGGCAUGCAUUUAUAUCCAUGCUACAAAGCCCUAACAUGAAUUUCUCCUGUCACUUUUAUUAUUUUUAAGAAGACUGAGAUUCACUUGGUGAUCCUGGGAAGAGUGAAUUGUAUUGUAGACCCAGCAUGAAUGACCUUCUCAGGAAGCAUCUUUAGUGGUUUUAAAGUCUUGACCUUUUAAAAGCCAAUUAAGCUCUAUUGGAAAGAAGGAAUAGUGUAAUCAUCCUUUGUAAUAAAGAAUGAAAAGUUUCCAGAGAUAAGGUAGAGGAAGCACUGGGAAGUUUUCACAAAUGGGCAUGUCGUAAUUCAGAGGUCUAUGUCCACUGGAAGCCAUCAAGCUCUCUUGACUGAGAAAGGGAGUAGAAGGCACUACUUUGCUUUGGAAUUGAGGGCAGGAUGUGGAGGCCACAUUGGACAUAACUCCUAGGGAGACUUCGGUGGAUAACUGUGUUGAGGAUGAAAAUUGGAGUUGGAGUACUGAGCAGAUUUCCAUGCACUCAGCAUCAAAAG
rnacentral:lncRNA from 1 species